AACGAACGCUGGCGGCAGGCCUAACACAUGCAAGUCGAACGAGAAGCCACCUUCGGGUGGUGGAAAGUGGCAGACGGGUGAGUAACGCGUGGGAACGUACCUUUCGGUUCGGGAUAACCC
rnacentral:rRNA from 1 species